rnacentral:rRNA from 1 species
CAGCAUUCAGUUGGGCACUCUAAGGUGACUGCCGGUGACAAACCGGAGGAAGGUGGGGAUGACGUCAAAUCAUCAUGCCCCUUAUGACCUGGGCUACACACGUGCUACAAUGGACAGAACAAAGGGCAGCGAAACCGCGAGGUUAAGCCAAUCCCACAAAUCUGUUCUCAGUUCGGAUCGCAGUCUGCAACUCGACUGCGUGAAGCUGGAAUCGCUAGUAAUCGCGGAUCAGCAUGCCGCGGUGAAUACGUUCCCGGGCCUUGUACACACCGCCCGUCACACCACGAGAGUUUGUAACACCCGAAGUCGGUGAGGUAACCUUUUAGGAGCCAGCCGCCGAAGGUGGGACAGAUGAUUGGGGUGAAGUCGUAACAAGGUAGCCGUAUCGGAAGGUGCGGCUGGAUCACCUCCUUUCUAAGGA